rnacentral:misc_RNA from 1 species
AGAUGAAGCUAACCCUGGAGAUGGAUAUAUGGUCGAGGGAUUACAAGGUGGAGAAUCAAACUCUCAUCAAUAAGGUGAAAGUUCAAAGUUCAAGUAGCCAACCGGCUCAACUACUAAGAUUUCCUUAUAAAGUUUGUACCUUCACUUGCAUUGUCCUGACAUUUUAUUGGGUUUGCAAAGUUGAGGACUAACAGCUUUUGUGCCUAUUCCGGUUGAUUGCCUCUCAGGGAAG